AUGGAGUACGCCAUCUUCGGGUCCAGGCGGGUCGACGACGACACGGGGUUCAGGCGCCAGCGGACCGUCAGAUUCCGUGAAGAGAGGACAAAGGCGACGAUGCCUAUUCACCAGAAGCAGGCUGGUCCAGCUGCUCGCAAGCUCGGCGUGGGGAACUGGGGGAAGAACAGGAUCUUCGUAGCAGGACAAGACGUUCCCCACAAGAGGAUCAUCGACCCAACGAGCGAUUUCAUCUUGCUAUGGAACUACGUAUUCCGCGUCUCAUGCUUCGUCGCUCUGUUCAUGGACCCUCUGUACUUCUACGUGCCUAAAAUCGUGUAUGGCAAAACUUCAUGCGUCGGGAAAGAUAGGCACCUGGCCAUCAUCAUCACCGUCUUCCGGUCGAUUGCGGAUCUCUUUUAUGUCAUCCAGAUCGUGAUAAAGUUCAUGACCGCAUAUAUUAAUCCGAGCUCCAAGUCGGGGGUUUUCGGCAGAGGGGAGCUGGUUACAGAUCCUAAUGAAAUCGCGAAGACGUAUCUGAGAUCUGACUUUGUAGUUGAUUUAGUGGCUUCAAUUCCUGUACCACAGAUCAUUACUUGGUCCGUGAUACCAGCUAUUAAGUAUACUUGGUCUGGGCAUAAUAAUGACAUACUGUUCCUGGCUGCUCUUUUUCAGUACAUUCUGAGAUUAUAUCUAAUAUCUUCCUUGAAUAGCAAAAUUCUCAAAGUUACUGGAGCUUUUUCAAAGACUGCCUGGCAGGGAGCUGUGUCCAAUCUGCUAUUAUAUAUGACUGCCAGUCAUGUUUUAGGAGCAUUAUGGUACCUGCUGUCUGUUGAUCGCCAGACUGCAUGCUGGCAAAAAUACUGCAAUGAUGAUGCUGGUUGCCAUAAUAAAUACCUGUCUUGUAACGCAGAGCCAGAUCCAAAUUGGGCAAAGAGUACUGCUAUCUUUAAAAACUGUAAUGCUAGUAACAAAAGCAUAAGUUUCGACUUUGGUAUGUUCGAGACAGUGUUAUCAAACAAAGCUCCAGGCCAUAGAUUCCUGAAGAAGUACUUGUAUUGCCUUUGGUGGGGCUUACAAAAUCUAAGUUGCUAUGGCCAGACUUUGAGUGUAAGUACCUAUAUUGGUGAGACAUUGUAUGCCAUAUUCUUGGCGGUACUUGGUCUAGUUUUGUUUGCCCAUUUGAUUGGGAAUGUUCAGACCUACCUACAAUCCAUCACUGCAAGGGUUGAGGAGUGGAGAGUAAAGCAAAGAGAUACCGAAGAGUGGAUGAAACAUCGCCAACUUCCUCCUGUACUACAGGAAAGGGUGAGAAGAUUUAUUCACUACAAGUGGCUUGCAACUCGAGGCGUGGACGAAGCAUCUAUAUUGAAGGCUCUGCCUGCAGAUCUUCGCCGUGACAUCAACCGUCACCUUUGCUUGGAUCUUGUUCGCCGGGUGCCGUUCUUCUCACAGAUGGACGACCAGCUCCUGGACGCCAUCUGUGGGCGCCUGGUCUCCUCCCUGAGCACGAAGGGCACGUACACGGUCCGCGAGGGCGACCCGGUGACCGAGAUGCUCUUCAUCAUCCGCGGCAAGCUGGAGAGCUCCACCACGGACGGCGGCCGGACGGGCUUCUUCAACUCCAUCAUCCUCAAGUCCGGCGACUUCUGCGGCGAAGAGCUGCUCGGAUGGGCCCUCGUCCCCAGGCCGACCGUCAACCUGCCAUCAUCCACCAGGACGGUGAAGGCGCUCGUAGAGGUGGAGGCGUUCGCCCUCCAAGCCGAGGACCUCCGGUUCGUGGCCAGCCAGUUCAGGCGGCUCCACAGCAGGAAGCUGCAGCACACCUUCCGGUACUACUCCCACCACUGGAGGACCUGGGCGGCCUGCUUCAUCCAGGCCACCUGGCGCCGCCACAAGCGCCGUCGGCUGGCCAGGGACCUCAUGAUGAGGGAGUCCUUCUCCUCCAUGAGGUCGUAUGAGGAUGGCGAUGGCGGUGGCUCCUUCGCCGAGCACGGUCGGGCGGCGAAGAUCAUGGCCGCGGCCAGGAAAGGGUCGGAUGGCCACCGGGAGCUGCCUAAGUUCAGGAAGCCCUCCGAGCCGGACUUCUCGGUGGAGCACGACGACUAG
rnacentral:rRNA from 1 species